rnacentral:lncRNA from 1 species
AAUUGUCGGCGCCCCAUAUCUUCUAUGCCCUCAUGGCGGCGCUCCACAAGGCCUGAACCACCACGAUGCUGCUGUCGUGAGCAAGAUCAGCCCCUUCUCGCCAUGUGAGUCGAUCUAUUAUUGUCGUCCGAGAAGAAUGAGAUCAGUCUCCAUGCGGGUGGAAAUUAGACGGUAUUUUUGUGGUGAUGAUGGUGGGAUGGUGAUGGUGUGGUGUGAAGACGGUAUGGUGACAAUGGAAAGACAGAUCUAGAGUUUUUGGUUGGAUCCGACUUGGCGGAGAAAGUCGCGCAUGCUAGACCCCUAAUCGACUAUGUUAAGUUUUAAUCGACUAUGCUCAGUAGUCGAUUAAGGUUUAAUCAACUAUGAUUAGUAGUCGAUUAAAGUUAAUUUUUUAAUUCAUUUUUGAGUUAAUGUGUUUUUGUUCUGUCAUUGUCAAUCCAUCAUCCAAUUUCUUUCUAUAAAUCAAUACAAUUUUUGUAUAUCUUUUGUUUUGUAAAAAAUAACUGAUUUUCAUUUUCUUUUUUGUAGUUGUUUUUGUUAUUUGUUUCGGUUGGUUAUUG